CAGACAGACAGACUGACAGACUGCAAAAUACACUUCCAUACAUUGAUUGAACAUUAACAGAUCUUGUUCUUCUCCCCUAUAGCGAUUGAAUAUGGAGGACUUUGUUAAACUAAAGUUAACAGAACGGCAACUUCUUGAGCUGAUUGACACUUUUGCAGAUUGUGCAGGACUUCGAGGUUCUUCAUAAAGAGGCAUCAGACUAAAUCUUUGACCUGGAGGAGGUUCAGCGAUAAGCUUGUUCAUGCGGCCCAGUGGGAGGGGUAGAAGCUCCACGUGCAGACAGAGUCUUUGUCUCAAGGCUCCAAAGACUACAUUGACCUGAUGGUUCUGCCAAGCCUGAUUCCACCUGCAGUCUUCAGGAUGGGCCGAAAGACCGUGAGGACUACAGUGUCUGACGCCAUGAAGGCCUUCAUCGAUCUUAAGCCUGUCGGAGCCAACAUGGUGGAGUACCUUCAGGCAGCAGAGCAGACCAGGCCAUACCCCUGCACCCUGGUGUUGGGAGGCGAGGACUGCUGCUCUCAGGCAUUCACCGUUCCCAGUGGGCCGGCCCUGGAGCACGACAGCGUUGUCCAAGCUGUACAUGUUUGUGUCAAAUGUUUUUAUGUGUUUGAUAUCAAUUUCCCAAAGCAGUGGUUCUCUGCUUAGCAGUUCCUCCAGAAAGAAUGGGGGGGUGGUAGUAAUGUAGCCCCAUGCGUUUGUUUUUUGGAAAUGCUCAUGCGAUAAGGGAAUUCUCUCUCUCUCUGUCUCUCUUUCUCUGUCUCUCUCUAAUAUUUAGGAGGAAUAUUAGGAGGAAAUUAAUUAUUGUUAAUUGUUGCUUGGUAUUAGUCCAGUUAUUUGAUACUCAUUUUGAAAUGAGGUAGGGAUAAUGUGGCCCCAUGCAUUUCUUCUUUGGAAACGCUCAUGUGAUAAGGGAAUUGGACUUGUUAUUGUUAUUCCAGUUUUUCUCUUUAAAUGAGUAAAUUAAAUAUUGUUCAAUAAAAUCAGUGACAUUAA